rnacentral:rRNA from 1 species
GUAAAGAGUUCGUAGGCGGUUUGUCGCGUCGUUUGUGAAAACCCGGGGCUCAACUUCGGGCUUGCAGGCGAUACGGGCAGACUUGAGUGUUUCAGGGGAGACUGGAAUUCCUGGUGUAGCGGUGAAAUGCGCAGAUAUCAGGAGGAACACCGGUGGCGAAGGCGGGUCUCUGGGAAACAACUGACGCUGAGGAACGAAAGCGUGGGUAGCAAACAGGAUUAGAUACCCUGGUAGUCCACGCCGUAAACGGUGGGCGCUAGGUGUGGGUUCCUUCCACGGGAUCUGUGCCGUAGCUAACGCAUUAAGCGCCCCGCCUGGGGAGUACGGCCGCAAGGCUAAAACUCAAAGGAAUUGACGGGGGCCCGCACAAGCGGCGGAGCAUGUGG